rnacentral:rRNA from 1 species
CCCAGACUCCUACGGGAGGCAGCAGUGGGGGAUAUUGCACAAUGGGGGGAACCCUGAUGCAGCGACGCCGCGUGGGUGAAGGAGCGUUUCGGCGCGUAAAGCCCUAUCGGCAGGGAAGAAGGAGGACGGUACCUGACUAAGAAGCCCCGGCUAACUACGUGCCAGCAGCCGCGGUAAUACGUAGGGGGCAAGCGUUAUCCGGAUUUACUGGGUGUAAAGGGGGCGCAGACGGCAGCGCAAGCCAGGAGUGAAAGCCCGGGGCCCAACCCCGGGACUGCUCUUGGAACUGCGCGGCUGGAGUGCAGGAGGGGCAGGCGGAAUUCCUGGUGUAGCGGUGAAAUGCGUAGAUAUCAGGAGGGACACCGGUGGCGAAGGCGGCCUGCUGGACUGCGACUGACGUUGAGGCCCGAAAGCGUGGGGAGCAAACAGGAUUAGAUACCCCGGUAGA